GAGAGAGAGAGAGAGAGAGAGAGAGAGCCUGUCUGGCUGUGCUUUUUCACUAGAUUUUCAGCCAAAAUAGAGCCGUUGGUCCAAGCUGCAGUCCCACCUCACACACAGGCAGUCAAAAAUUGUGGGCUGCAUCGUUAGGAAAAUUGCUGCCAACGGUCACUUUUUUGCUUUUAAUUUCUCCCAGACAGGCCCAAUCACCUUUUUUCCCAAAGAUUUUCCAUGAGACCUCAUUAUUAAAUAAAAAGUACCAAUCAAAAGAAACUGAUUAGUUGUUUCCCUGUUCAGUUGUUCUAUAUAAAAAUACCAAACUGGGACUUUUAAAACCUUCGGGAUGAUUGUGGCUUAGCUGCAAUUUAAAUUGGCAGGAAAGCACACACUCAGACUACUUACUAAAAUGUUAACAGUUAGGAGGUUGAAAAGUGAUUCUAUUUCUUCUAAAGCAAGUUUCCUUCAAUUAAUGCUUUGGUGAUCAAGCAAUAUUCAUGGCUUGAGACACCCCAGUAUAUAACAAGAAGUGUAGUGAUGACUAGAAGAGCUCUUUUAAGGGCAAUGCAUUUGGCUCUUUAAUUUUUUCAAGUUUAGUUGUCAAAUUAAAAUAACAUCUUUCCACUAAAUCAAGAUGUGGUAAAGUUGACAACUGGGAAAUGAAAAUGCGGUGCCCUUAUUUUUACGGCUAGAGGAUUUGUCAUUAAAACUCAAGUCUUACCAGGAUUAGUGUCUCACUUGUGUUCUCUAUUGUUAGUUUCAUACAAAUUUGCAACAAAACCGACACAAAUAGCAUCCCAACUCCCACUAGUAUAACCAAUUCAUAUUGUCAUGAUUGGUCAAGAAUAGUUGUUUCCACAACCAAGGGCAACGGUUAAAGGAUCAAUAUCCUUCAUCUCUCUAAUCCCCGCAAGAUAAAAAUGUAAGAAAAUUACUUUUAACUAUCAAACAAACAAUCCACCCUCUCCUAACUAUGGUAAGGAGAAAAUGAAAAAUAAUCUCUUAGCAAAACACUGCUUUCUUGUCAGAAAACCAUUUGGCCUAACUAUUUCAGUGAAGGUCAAGUCCUGCAAAAGUGCACAAAGAUAACAUAAAAGGAUAUUGAUAACAGAAGUACAUACAGAUUUGGACUUCAUUGAAGAAACAUGCCCACACUGCUCACUUCUAUACCAUGGUAAGGCUCAAAGGCUUAAGUCACAGGAUACUACAGAAAAAUAAAAAUAAAAAAUAAAAAAUAAAAAAUAAAAAUAAAAAUAAAAAUAAAAAAUAAAAAAUAAAAAAUAAAAAAUAAUAAUAAUAAUAAUAAUAAAUGUGUACAAACUAUUUCUGAUCAGUUACAAUACACUAGGAAAACAACAUCAAGGCCACACGUUUUCAAAAGAAUUAGAAAGCACAAUAUUUUGUAAAUCUGAUUUUCAAAUACAAAAUCCAACUAGCAUCAACUAACUAACAGGGCAUGCCAACCAUUGUUCUGAGAGUUUGGAGGCAAUAACAAAUAAACCAAGAUCAUCUAAUGCUAUGGUUAGAAAUUUGGACUGCCAGGAUAAUACAGAAAGCUUUCAAGAAAAGCCAUAAAAAGGUUUGGACACGAAAAUUCAUAUUGACCAAAUUCGAAUUAUCCGUAUUCGAAAGAAAGAAGUGUCUUGAGUCAAAUAAAAAAAAUGAGAAAUGCUACAUGUACACUAGAGUUAUACAGCCCCCUCACAUUCGAGGGGGCCCACGAAUUUUUUAAUCAAUGUGAGCCCCCUCUCAUGUGAAAGGGGUGUACACUAGAGUACAAGAAGCGUUUUUUCUAAAAAAAUACUAGCAUAAAAGAUGCCAUUCUCGUAGUGCAGCAAUUCAAGAAAACAUCAUCAAAAAGAUUAUGUUAACAGGAAUAUGAAAUUAAAGUGAGCAAAAAUAGACAAAUAAAAAGAGAGUUUUUCUUCCACCUACCAACCCAGUAGGGCCAGUACCAAAGAUACAUUUUUUGUACGCCCAGCUUCACGUUGACUAGAGACAUCCGAAGCUUUUCCUGGUGCGAUCUGGAUAUAUUCGAGUCUUUGCAAUUCGAUUCUGCAAUAAUAUAAAUCACAUAGGAAAUGCAGCAGGAUACCAACCCAAUAUAUUUGUCACAAAGCAUGUGUACUUGGAAUCCUAACCAUUUGUAUUCCGACAAUUCAUAAAAAGGUAUCAUUUUUCCCUGUACAUUAAACAUCGAAAUUGCUACAUUGAAAAAAAUACAGGAAUCAAGCACAAAAGCUCAAAGAGCGUCAUAUCCAUUGAUAGGUGCCAAAACGACAUUAUUAAAAGGAGAUUUAGAAGAACAUCAAAAUAAAAGGCAAAACAGAGCAACAACUACAAAGAUGUUAUUUUAAUUUUACAACUAAAUAAAAAAUCAAAUCUACAAAUGAAUUCUACGUUCAACCAGCGAUCUCAGCAAAAGUUGCAUUAAUAUCCAAAAUUCUUUUUACUGAAUUAAAUUUCAGAACUAGUCCAUAUGGAGAGUAAAAAUAUAAAGAUUUUUUUUUAAAAGUUUGAUCGAGCA
rnacentral:lncRNA from 1 species